UCCUCAGAACAGCGACGAUGAUUCCCAUCACGAUGAAGGGUGGCAACAAGAAACAGUCACUGAACCUGGAGCUGGACCUUCAGCGGCAUCCAGCACAAGCAGAAGAGAAGUAACGGAUAAUGAGAUCAACAACUUAUCCAAAAAAAUACCGGACGGAAAAUACAGCGAGCUGUUCGCAAUAAUAGGAUUCGAAUUCAACUACAUAGACAAAAUAAAGAAGAGCAAUCUUAACGACGUCACGGCUGCUUCCGAAGUACUAUUGCAAGAAUGGAAAAUCAAG